AGGUUGAGACUUUGGGUAGUGUAUGCGUGUUGUGUUGCGAAUAAAUGCCAAAGCAUGGAAACAUUCUGAGGCUGUUCGAAAGGGAAAAGCUCUGAUUUCUUGAGGUGGAGAACGUAUGGUCGGCCUACAGCUUGGGAGCAGCAAGGAAGGGUAACGAGCAGUCCACUACUUUUCAGCGCGAUUAAGGAACUUCCAAGGCUAGUUUUUGCAAGUUUUGAA